rnacentral:lncRNA from 1 species
AGACCCGCGUGGCCCCUGCGGCUGCAACGGGUAGCACUUGACGGCCGUCCGCACUUCCUCCUUUGUCUUUCCCUUAUUCCUUACGUUUCUCCCUUGCUCACUCUUCCCUCCUUACCCUAUCGGGGCUGCAGACCCACGGAGGCCACGUUCACUCCUGCCCGUCGGCCUUGGCAAGCGCGGGCCCCUUGUCGCGCAGAGCGGAGGGUCCUGGGAGAUCCUGGGUUGGCCCAGCCACACCUUGCGCCGCCGCCGUUUCUGCUGGACACCAGGAGAAAACCACGGCAGCUGCAGCCACCAACUUCCCCUACAUAGCCCCACGGGAUCGGAUCCCACUCCCCACUCACCGCCAGACCGGAAGCAGGAAGGCGGAAGUCGCGGCCUUUGCGUCCCGCCCACAGGCGACCCGAGCCGCCAGCCGGGCGUGACUUCUCCAUCAUCUUCCUCCACCUGAUUCGUAGAGACCUCUGGACAUCUGAGCCUAAGCAGGGCCACUAAAUGAGAGAGAAUCCCAUCACUGAAAAGCAACAAUGAAUAUAUUAAGGACCACAGGAGAGAUAGAAGAAAUAUUGCAACUGAAGCUGCUAGAUGGUUAUGAUUAUCUGAAUAGGUGUGAUCUUGACUUUAGCGAAUUAACAGAGAAUGGAAUCUCUCCACGUUGCCCAAGCAGGUCUCGAACUCCUGUACUUGAGCUAUUCUCCCACCUCUGCCUCCCUAAGUGCUGGGAUUACAAGCGUGAGCCACUGUUCAUGGCCUUAGGGACUUUUAAAUGUUAAAUUGAUUUUGACCUACCCAGGAGCUAGAGAAUACCAAUGAUUACAGAGGGGAGAAUAAAAUUGCCGUAUAGAUUUUCUGUGCUCCUUUAGAAAAUCCAUUCUGGAGUAAAGAGAUGGGCAAUUGGUCAACUGAGUUUCUUUCUUGUAUAAUAUGUCAGAGUUUGAUAUUGUCAGUCUGUUAACCAAGAUUUUUAUUGGGAUAUUUGCUGAAAGAGGCUCUAAGAAUAUCCCAUCACCAGUAAUUAGAAUUUGUUACAGGUUUCAGUCAGGGUAGUUGAAAGGGAGCUAAUUUGGUAACACAAUAACCUAGUACCCAACUAAUUCAGGAGCAUGAAGAAAAAUUGGUUGAUUAAGGCUUAAGUCAGAUAAAUAAUACUAUAGGUUGACAUGGCUGGGUUAGCUCAGGUUUGUAUAUUUGUUUUUUCAAAGAGGCAGACUUUUCCUAAGAUUAGAAUCCACAGUAAUGAUGGAAGCAGGAAACUUAGGGGCAGGCCAUAGGUGUAAAAUCAAAGUUGAGCUGCUUCUGUGUUACAGCUGUAAGCACAGGAAGUUGCCCAUUUUUUUCAAGCACUAUUUCUGCAUAGUCAUAUAUCAGCUAGUGUUGUCAACAUAGACACAAGAGACAAUAGGAAUACGUACAUGCAAUUCCACCAUCAGCUAAAAAACCCACAUAAGUCUUUGAAGCUCUCAAAUAACACGCAUGACACUGAAUGGUACAUUUUGAUGCACUUUGAAACUCUUAUCUCUUUAGUUGGUAAGUACAUUUGAACACUUAAUAUGUGCUCAGCAGAAGAGAAGGAGAACAAGGGAAGUCUAAUAUAAAAUCAGGAUUUUUUCUUUUCUCUUUGAAGCCAAUUAGAAUGUGUGUAUGUGUGUGUGUGUGUGUGUGUGUGUGUGCGUGUGUGUGUGUGUGUGUGUGUAUUAUUUAGUGUAGUAAUCCUUGGGUUUUUUUUAAAAAAACGUGUUUUACUAUGAAGUGUAACAUACAAGAAAGUGAUAACAUAUGACAUAUACAGCUUACAAAUGGUUGUAAGAAUUAAUACACUUUGUAAGUGCCACCCAUGGUAAAAAUAAGUAGGUGGAGAAGGAGGAGAAGAAAAGAAGAAUUUAACUAGCAUGUCAGAAGUCUCAUGGAUCUCUUUCCAGUCACAACCCUCUCACCAAGCUCGAUUCCUAUUCCCUGAGUAAGUUCUAAUCUUACUUUUCUUUUUUUUUUUUUUUUUGAGAGAGAGUCUGACUCUGUCACCCAAGCUAGAGUGGUGCAAUCUCGGUUCACUGCAAUCUCUGCCUCCUGGGUUCAAGUGAUUCUCCUGCCUCAGCCUCCCGAGUAGCUGGGAUUACAGGCAUGUGCCACCAUGCUGUGCUAAUUUUUGUAUUUUUAGUAGAGAUGGGUUUUCGCCAUGUUGGCCAGGCUAGUCUUGAACUCCUGACCUUAGGUGAUCCGCCCGCCACAGCCUCCCAAAGUGCUAGUAUUACAGGCAUCAGCCACCGUGCCCAGCCUAAUCUUACUUUUAAAGUAAUCAUUUAUUGCUUUUCUUUACAGUUUACCACUUGGAUGUGCAUCCAUAUGUACCAUAUACAACCAUAGAGUUUAGUGUUGUGUGUCUGGAAACUUUACAGAAUGAGGUCAUACUUUAUAUAUUCUUUUGUCUUGUUUCUUUCACUUGUUAUCUAUGAUGUUGAAUGUAGAUGCAGUCUGUUCAUUUUCAUUGCUAUGUAGUAUUCCAUUAAAUAAACGACAACUUAUUUAUCCAUUCUACUAUGUUGGACAUCUGGGUUGCUUACAGUUUGCAUUACAGAUAAUGUUCCUGUGAAUAUAGUUAUGCUAUCCCUUGGUGCAUAUAGGCUUGCAUUUCUGUUGGACAUAGUCCUAGUCAGUAAAAAGGAAUAUGACAGAAGUCAAUGAAACUGUCUUUUUCUGAAUGAAAAUUUAGUGAGCCAGUAAUCUAAUGAGGAAAACAGCUGUUCUUUUUGUUAUUCUAAUGGUAGGUGCUGUCUGGAUAUAAAGAUGACCAUUUCAUUUGCUUAAUAUGAAUGUCUACAAGUAUGUUUCACCAAGAAAAUAAAAUACAUUUUAGUUUUAAACCAUAUCUGGUAUUAUUUCUAGAAUUCUAAAAUUAACAGGAUAAAAAGUCCUUAGAGGGCAAGGAUUCUUUCAUUUUUUAAAUGUACUUCACAGUGACCAUAGCAAUGCUAUUAAGAUGCUGAAUCCCAACCAAAUAUGCAUUCUCUUGACAAAUAUACUUUGGAGUAAAAUUAUUUGUACAAAUGCAUAUAACUUUUCAGAUGUCCAGAACUUUAAUUUUUCCUUUAUUCUAAAAAGGGGGAAAAGAUGGAUUCCUUUAACUUAAAACUGUUUCUGUUUUGAAAGCCUCUAUCCUGAAAGAUAGAAAAUAAUAGUUUUGAUGAAUCCAUGUAAUAUUCUGUGUUCUUCACAAUUUUUCUUACAACAUUAUUCCUCUAUACAUGUUCUUAGUAUAGAUAAUAUUAAUGUAUUUCUGAGGCCAUUAAUAAUUAUAAUUUGGGCCUUUUGUUUGCCUUUUGAACCUGGAAGACAAAAUAGAUAGUAUAUUAAGAUGCAAAUGUAUAUUUUCUAAUGGACUUGUGCUUCAAAGCAUAUGUAUUUUAGGGCUUGGCCUGAUUUUGCCAGCUAAGGCCAGAUCAUUGUAAAUUGAUUUCAAUAUCUUUCUGCUUUUAUAAGCUUUGUUCUAAAGCUUCACAGGAAGAAUCAAAAUAAUGUUUGUCACACUGUUCUAGCUUAGCUGAAAUCUUGUUCCUGUUUACACUAAAUGACCAUUGGCCUAAUGCAGUUAACAUGAGUACUUUACAACUCAUCCAAGAACUAUUUCAAGUGUUGAGGAAAAGGCACUUUAAUUGAAAAAUUACUUAUGCAGGAUCAGACUGAGCGAGAAUGCUGUUUUUUGUACAUUCAGCAUAUUACACAUACCACGCUCCAUUUUGCUCCUUUGUUAUAACAAAUGAAUUCUUUUUUGCAAUGAAAGGAUUCUUAUGGUUUAUCUUCCUUGGGGAUUGUAACUUUCAAAAGGUGCUCUUAAAUAUAUUACUACUUUAUUUAAACUAUUCACUUCCCAGAUGUGCAGUGCUUUGCACAAAGAAUAAUUCACUAAUGCCUUGAGCACACAAAAGGAAAAUGCUCUGCUGGGUUUCCCUUUUUAUUUUACUUUCCAGUGGUAGGUUUAUGACUUGAUGCCCAGCUUCUUAAUAAAUUCACCUCUCACAGGACACAGUUCUCUUUAAUAUGUUUUCCAUGCUUAUAGAAAGAAACACUGUAUUAGCAAACACCAGUAGAAAUUUCAUUUUCACCACGUUGCUUUCUCUGGGUAUAUAUAGAGAAACCCCUUAAAGGGCUUCUCCAGGACAACUGAAAGUUAUCUUUUUCAUUGAUCUCUUCUGUGGCUUUAAAAUAUUUUCUUGACAACAUAUUGUUUUUAUUAAUCUAAAUUAAGCAUUUUAGAUUCUUUUAUGAAUUUAAAAGAUAUUAAAACCAAAGAAUUGGAAAAAUAUCUAAGAAAAGUUACUAAUUUCCAUGGUGGGGUAUAGAGUUGGUGUGUGUAGGAAGUUAUACAGGCAGAGGAGCAUUGGAAGAAAAGUGGUGUUUAAGGAAGAUUACUGUAAACUGGCAGCAGGCAAGAGUCCAGGACGUUUACCCUUCCACCAAGUUUUCCCAGCCUGCUCUAGCCAUGCUAUUAUUUUACAAGCUCCUAUACAUAUUAUAUAAUAUAUAAGCAAGAAUGGAUGGAUGGGUCAAAAUAAAAUGCUUCUAUCAGCAAGUUCCCUUGAUAAGACAGCAAUGGUCAAAAUUCACAUGAAAUAAAAAGAUCUUGGAUAUGGUUUCUUCCCGGGACUUAGAACUUUAAUAUGUUAAUGUACGUCUUGAGGUUCCAAAAAGGGCCUUAUAUUUCAAGGAAUGCUGGUGUUUCAAGCAACAGAGUUUGGGAAACAACAAGGUAAAUGAUAAUCUAAUGCAUUUAGGUAAGAGGUAAGUGAAAGUUAGAAUAUAUGCUUGAGCAACAUGUAACCAUAAUGGCUGUGGAGUCCCAGCUUUGAAUAUCUUGGAAGAAUAGACAAUUAUCAAUGUUCCUCCCUCUCAAAUGAUCCUUCUCAACACAGGUUGUGCUUGAUGAAUCUUUAAGAACAGAAUCUUAGCAGGAUUUUGUCAAAUGCCUUUUCUUCAUCUGUUGAGAUAAUCAUGUUUUUCUCUUUUAGUGUAUUAGCAUGAUGAAUUCCAUUGAUUGAUUUUCUAAUGUUAAACCAAUCCUACAUUUUUCAGAUGAACCCCACUUGGUUAUGACGUACUAUCCUUUUAUCCCUUUAAUAUAUUGUAUUUGAUACUCUAAAAUUUUGUUUAGAAUUUUUACAUCUAUGUUCAUAAGGGAUACUGGUUUGUAGUUUCC